UAGCCAGACUCCUACGGGAGGCAGCAGUGAGGAAUAUUGGUCAAUGGUCGGGAGACUGAACCAGCCAAGCCGCGUGAGGGAUGAAGGUACAGAGUAUCGUAAACCUCUUUUGUCAGGGAACAAAGGCGGGGACGUGUCCCCGGAUGAGUGUACCUGAAGAAAAAGCAUCGGCUAACUCCGUGCCAGCAGCCGCGGUAAUACGGAGGAUGCGAGCGUUAUCCGGAUUUAUUGGGUUUAAAGGGUGCGUAGGCGGGACGGUAAGUCAGCGGUAAAAAUGCGGAGCUCAACUCCGUCGAGCCGUUGAAACUGCCGUUCGUGAGUGAGCGAGAAGUAUGCGGAAUGCGUGGUGUAGCGGUGAAAUGCAUAGAUAUCGCGCAGAACUCCGAUUGCGAAGGCAGCAUGCCGGCUCCACACUGACGCUGAGGCACGAAAGCGUGGGUAUCGAACAGGAUUAGAUACCCCAGUA
rnacentral:rRNA from 1 species